UUAAAUUGAAGAGUUUGAUCAUGGCUCAGAUUGAACGCUGGCGGCAGGCCUAACACAUGCAAGUCGAACGGUAGCACAGAGAGCUUGCUCUCGGGUGACGAGUGGCGGACGGGUGAGUAAUGUCUGGGAAACUGCCUGAUGGAGGGGGAUAACUACUGGAAACGGUGGCUAAUACCGCAUAAUGUCGCAAGACCAAAGAGGGGGACCUUCGGGCCUCUUGCCAUCAGAUGUGCCCAGAUGGGAUUAGCUUGUUGGUGAGGUAACGGCUCACCAAGGCGACGAUCCCUAGCUGGUCUGAGAGGAUGACCAGCCACACUGGAACUGAGACACGGUCCAGACUCCUACGGGAGGCAGCAGUGGGGAAUAUUGCACAAUGGGCGCAAGCCUGAUGCAGCCAUGCCGCGUGUAUGAAGAAGGCCUUCGGGUUGUAAAGUACUUUCAGCGGGGAGGAAGGUGUUGUGGUUAAUAACCGCAGCAAUUGACGUUACCCGCAGAAGAAGCACCGGCUAACUCCGUGCCAGCAGCCGCGGUAAUACGGAGGGUGCAAGCGUUAAUCGGAAUUACUGGGCGUAAAGCGCACGCAGGCGGUCUGUCAAGUCGGAUGUGAAAUCCCCGGGCUCAACCUGGGAACUGCAUUCGAAACUGGCAGGCUUGAGUCUUGUAGAGGGGGGUAGAAUUCCAGGUGUAGCGGUGAAAUGCGUAGAGAUCUGGAGGAAUACCGGUGGCGAAGGCGGCCCCCUGGACAAAGACUGACGCUCAGGUGCGAAAGCGUGGGGAGCAAACAGGAUUAGAUACCCUGGUAGUCCACGCCGUAAACGAUGUCUACUUGGAGGUUGUGCCCUUGAGGCGUGGCUUCCGGAGCUAACGCGUUAAGUAGACCGCCUGGGGAGUACGGCCGCAAGGUUAAAACUCAAAUGAAUUGACGGGGGCCCGCACAAGCGGUGGAGCAUGUGGUUUAAUUCGAUGCAACGCGAAGAACCUUACCUGGUCUUGACAUCCACAGAACUUUCCAGAGAUGGAUUGGUGCCUUCGGGAACUGUGAGACAGGUGCUGCAUGGCUGUCGUCAGCUCGUGUUGUGAAAUGUUGGGUUAAGUCCCGCAACGAGCGCAACCCUUAUCCUUUGUUGCCAGCGGUCCGGCCGGGAACUCAAAGGAGACUGCCAGUGAUAAACUGGAGGAAGGUGGGGAUGACGUCAAGUCAUCAUGGCCCUUACGACCAGGGCUACACACGUGCUACAAUGGCGCAUACAAAGAGAAGCGACCUCGCGAGAGCAAGCGGACCUCAUAAAGUGCGUCGUAGUCCGGAUUGGAGUCUGCAACUCGACUCCAUGAAGUCGGAAUCGCUAGUAAUCGUGGAUCAGAAUGCCACGGUGAAUACGUUCCCGGGCCUUGUACACACCGCCCGUCACACCAUGGGAGUGGGUUGCAAAAGAAGUAGGUAGCUUAACCUUCGGGAGGGCGCUUACCACUUUGUGAUUCAUGACUGGGGUGAAGUCGUAACAAGGUAACCGUAGGGGAACCUGCGGUUGGAUCACCUCCUUACCUUAAAGAA
rnacentral:rRNA from 2 species